ACAUGUACCCUGUCAAAACCUGUCAAGGCUAUAGUAUAAGCGUACGUGCGAGUGCAUGAGAAAUGUAUAGACUGUUAGCAAUCAGAAUGGCUACUCAACAAGAGUAUGAGGACAUACUGCUGUACAAGACUGCUGCCAGCAAUGCUGGCCAGAAGAAAUACAGAGACGGGCUUUCCACUAAUGACAAGAGAAGUAUAAGAGACAAAGUUCAAAGAUAUGCUCUGCAGCAACAAUGCUUAUACCUGCCUGAGAAGGACAGCACUGGCAUCCAUAGAAUGAGAAGAGUUGUGGUGAAGCAAGAGGAGAAAAGCAGGAUACUAAACAUGUGCCACGAUGGACUGGAUGGAAUGCAUUUUGGGAGAGACAAGACCUAUGGAAAGGUUGCUCAGGAUAUCUACUGGAAAGGCCUACAUGCUGACGUCAUACAGCUCUGCAAGCACUGCGACAAAUGCCAACGAACGAAUCACCAACUGCAGAAGCCCAGAGCAGAACUACAUCCCAUCCCUGUGACAAAGGCAUGGGUGGCCAAAAGUGAUUCAAUCAGACCAAGGAAGAGAGUUUGUCAACGAAAUCAACACCCGACUUUUUCAGUUGACUGACAUACAGCACUGCGUAUCAAGUGCUUACCACCCACAAACAAAUGGCCUUGAUGAACGCUUCAACCAGACUCUAUAGUGAACACUCUCAAGAAGGUAAUCGAUUCUAGUACUGAUGACUGGGAUCAGCAUCUCUCUGCUGCUCUUUAUGCCUAUCGCAUAUCAAAACAGGCGUCAUCAAAGUACACACCCUUUUUCUUAAUGUUCAAUCGCCACCCGCGGAAAGCUGUUACUUUUGAUAUGGAUCAACGAGAUGGUGCCGACGCUAUAGAAGAUAGAGGAGAUGCUGACCAAUUGAGUGGAGAGGAGACUGAAAAUGAAGAAGACGGAGAAGACAUGGAUGGAAUUCUCCGAAGGUUGAUGGAAAUUCGUGAUCGCUGUCACCUCAAUGCCAAGGAGAACAUUGCUGCUGCACAGCAAAAACAGAAGCAGCAGUAUGACAACAAGCAUAACUCUUUGAAGAGUUAUCCAGUUGGCAGCAGUGUCAUGCUAAAGAAUAUGGCCAAUUCUCAUCGAAUGGGAGGGAAAAUGGACUGCACCUGGAAAGGUCCAUAUAAUGCUUUCCCCAAGUACUGAGCUCCAGAUAGCACAAGUGUAUAGCCCAUUAAUUCAAUGCAAUGGGCUCUGUGGUGGCUCUCCAGCAGCAAGAGGGUGCUAACAACUGCGGACUAUUUAGCAUUGCUGCUGCAAUCACGCUGCUAUGAACGAUAAUGUGGAUUCUCUAGUGUUUGAUGAGGCCAAAAUGAGAGCACAUCUCAUUAAGUGCUUUGAGAAGGGCAAACUCUCACGGUUCCCUCGCACAAAGAAAGCGAUGCCCAAAAGACCAACACCACAAACCAUUGCCAUUACAAUAUACUGCAUGUGCAAGAGACCGGACUCUUUUGAGGAUAUGGUCAUGUGUGACAAAUUUAGUGAGUAGUAUCACUAUCGCUGUGCCAAAAUUCGCAAUGAACCAGUAGGUAAUUGGUUUUGUUCUGGUUGUAUCACUUUAUGAUUUGUGCACUUUUGGUUAUAUUUAUUGUACUUCUUUCUCUUGCAUUGUUGUAUUUAUUGAGUAUUGA